rnacentral:rRNA from 1 species
GGGCCCGCACAAGCGGUGGAGUAUGUGGUUUAAUUCGAUGCAACGCGAAGAACCUUACCAGGGUUUGACAUCCUGCGAACUUUCUAGAGAUAGAUUGGUGCCUUCGGGAACGCAGUGACAGGUGCUGCAUGGCUGUCGUCAGCUCGUGUCGUGAGAUGUUCGGUUAAGUCCGGCAACGAGCGCAACCCACAUCCCUAGUUGCCAGCAGUUCGGCUGGGCACUCUAUGGAAACUGCCCGUGAUAAGCGGGAGGAAGGUGUGGAUGACGUCAAGUCCUCAUGGCCCUUACGGGUUGGGCUACACACGUGCUACAAUGGUAGUGACAAUGGGUUAAUCCCAAAAAGCUAUCUCAGUUCGGAUUGUCGUCUGCAACUCGACGGCAUGAAGUCGGAAUCGCUAGUAAUCGCGUAAC